UUUAAUCUACAUAACUGUAUGUCACUGUUCGCGGGAGGUGCAAUUGGUUGUUCCAUGGUGUUCUGUUUCUUAAUUCCAUGUUUUAUAUUUAUAUGCUGUCUUUUCAGGGAUUCCCUGGCCGGCCGUAAGGAUCCUCGGUCACUCUUAUGUCUUUUGGGCGGCACAAAGAGCUGAAUGCAGACAGGGAGGCCGGACCUUGGGCUUUCGUGAGGUCGAUGUUUUCUGGCGGGGUAUUAGGGGCCUUCGCUGGCCUCAGGUUCUCUCGGAGGUUGUGGGAAUCAGCCGGUCCAUCUCCGGCCUAGUGAUUCUGGUUGUCCAUGCCGGGGGAAAUGAUCUCUGCUCCUUACGACUCGCGGAGCUCAUGACCUUAAUGCGUUCCGAUAUGGAACGUUUUUCUUUUUUCCCUGAACUGGUCCUUGUUUGGUCGGAGAUCAUCCCCCGAGUGGUUUGGCAAGAAGCUCGGGACCCAGACGCAAUGGAGAAAUGUCGUAGAACCAUUAAUUCCUGUAUUUCCAGGUUUAUUAGAUCCCGGGGCGGUGUAGCCGUUCGCCACCGGCAGCUGGAGGGCGACAACCGUGCAUUGUUGAGGGCCGAUGGUGUCCACCUCUCCGACGUUGGUUGGAUAUCUUCCUCUCAUGGCUUCAGGACGGGGUUGAACAAGCCAUGUUUUUGUUGGGUGGUGGUCGGAGCCCAGUGUAGGUGAGUGGGCUCCUCCAUGGCGGUUUGGAGGCAAUCGGAAUACCCGGUGUGAAGUGUAAAGGGCGGACUUGCCCGCUGCGAGGGCAGCGGCCGGCAUACCGCUCCAUAUAACGGUUUUGGAGCAGUUCUAAAGCUCGUGGUUUUGUUAUGUUCGGUAACGAAUAAAGAAAGCUGUGGCCGAUCACCACCCAACUCAGUGGCGUCAUGUGUGUUUAUUGGGUAAGAAGGUUUCAAUUGGCAGGAGGAUAGAGGGGCGUUUUGGUUGCUCGACCUAUCUGCAGUCAUGUCAAGCACAUGAUUAACACAUUCCGCUCUACAUUUACAGCUAUUCGAUAUUUACUUCCGGUGCAUACGACACACAUUGCUGAAAGCGGAGUCAAGCGCUGAGAAUUGUUUUUUCCUUUCCACAACGGGAAAACCGAUAACCAAUCCGAGCAAGGACCUGCAGAGGUUUCAAGAAAAGUAUGUUUUUCAGCAGGAACCAUUCACAAACAAAGAUGCAAUAGAGGCCGUCGAGAGGUGGGCACUCCAGAAUCUCAGCGUCGACGACAAAGAUGCUUUGAAACAGUAUCUGCACCUGGGAGAUCCUAAUGAAGGCAGGUUGUAUUUUGCAUAAUUUGGACAGCAAUACACCGGGGUAAGAGUUGAUUUUUAUCCUCAAUUAUAUUACGUUUUUAUGGUUGUUUACUCAGUUCUCACCCACUGUACCCACAAAAAGAUCUGCAUAUCUUUUUAAUUUCAGAGACCUUCAUCAAGAAAGAGGCAAAGGAGUGAAGCAGACGAAAUAUCAGAAGAGCAACAGGAGGGAGAGCGAAGUGAAGUAGAAGAUCCUGAAGAAGUCGUGGCGGACGUCAGGGAAGAAUCCUUCAAGAGGCUGCUGAGAUGGUGUCCAGUGAGACUGGACCACCCACUUCCAUCACUGACGACUUGUAAAGACAUCAAUCAGCGCCAUGCUUAGUACUGUCAGGACAGAUGGCGCAGGAGACGGUACCAGAUGCCUAUAAGUGACGCCGUCGAACACUUCAGGAGCCUUCCCACGGAAGAGAAGGUUGACAUCUACAUGGAGCGACAGAGCUGGACAAGCAACCUCCCCAAAGCUUGGGAUGUUCUAAAGGCUUGGAAACCUCCGCAGUCGUGAAGAAAGCACGGACGCUUUCCGAACUUUGAGGCAAAGGUGGCCUCUCAGGACUGGGAAGGGCUAGUCGCUGUCGAGGAUCAAGCGAAAGGGGGGAUUCGCCUUAAAGACCACUCAAGUCUUUAAAAAAGGAGAGUUUGUCUGCGACUAUCAUGGAGUCUUGAUGGAUGGGAAAGAAGGAUAGGUGCAGCGCUCCAUCACCGACGGGAAGUGCUACAUCUACUUCUUUAGGCACGAAGAAAAAAAAAUGUGUGUGAAUGCUACGAAGGCUCACCCACUGUACCCACAAAAAAAAAUCUGCAUAUCUCUUUAACUUCACAGACCUUCAUCAAGAAAGAGGCAAAGGAGUGAAGCAGACGAAAUAUCAGAAGAAGAGCAACAGGAGGGAGAGCGAAGUGAAGUAGAAGAUCCUGAAGAAGUCGUGGCGGACGUCAGGGAAGAAUCCUUCAAGAGGCUGCUGAGAUGGUGUCCAGUGAGACUGGACCACCCACUUCCAUCACUGACGACUUGUAAAGACAUCAAUCAGCGCCAUGCUUAGUACUGUCAGGACAGAUGGCGAAGGAGACAGUACCAGAUGCCUAUAAGUGACGCCGUCGAACACUUCAGGAGCCUUCCCACGGAAGAGAAGGUUGACAUCUACAUGGAGCGACAGAGCUGGACAAGCAACCUCCCCAAAGCUUGGGAUGUUCUAAAGGCUUGGAAACCUCCGCAGUCGUGAAGAAAGCACGGACGCUUUCCGAACUUUGAGGCAAAGGUGGCCUCUCAGGACUGGGAAGGGCUAGUCGCCGUCGAGGAUCAAGCGAAAGGGGGGAUUCGCCUUAAAGACCACUCAAGUCUUUAAAAAAGGAGAGUUUGUCUGCGACUAUCAUGGAGUCUUGAUGGAUGGGAAAGAAGGAUAGGAGGUGCAGCGCUCCAUCACCGACGGGAAGUGCUACAUCUACUUCUUUAGGCACCAAGAAAUAAAAAAUGUGUGUGAAUGCUACGAAGGCUCACCCACUGUACCCACAAAAAAAAUCUGCAUAUCUCUUUAACUUCACAGACCUUCAUCAAAAAAAGAUGCAAAGGAGUGAAGCAGACGAAAUAUCAGAAGAAGAGCAACAGGAGGGAGAGCGAAGUGAAGUAGAAGAUCCUGAAGAAGUCGUGGCGGACGUCAGGGAAGAAUCCUUCAAGAGGCUGCUGAGAUGGUGUCCAGUGAGACUGGACCACCCACUUCCAUCACUGACGACUUGUAAAGACAUCAAUCAGCGCCAUGCUUAGUACUGUCAGGACAGAUGGCAAAGGAGACAGUACCAGAUGCCUAUAAGUGACGCCGUCGAACACUUCAGGAGCCUUCCCACGGAAGAGAUGGUUGACAUCUACAUGGAGCGACAGAGCUGGACAAGCAACCUCCCCAAAGCUUGGGAUGUUCUAAAGGCUUGGAAACCUCCGCAGUCGUGAAGAAAGCACGGACGCUUUCCGAACUUUGAGGCAAAGGUGGCCUCUCAGGACUGGGAAGGGCUAGUCGCCGUCGAGGAUCAAGCGAAAGGGGGGAUUCGCCUUAAAGACCACUCAAGUCUUUAAAAAAGGAGAGUUUGUCUGCGACUAUCAUGGAGUCUUGAUGGAUGGGAAAGAAGGAUAGGAGGUGCAGCGCUCCAUCACCGACGGGAAGUGCUACAUCUACUUCUUUAGGCACCAAGAAAAAAA